UUGAAACACCAGUUCCCAUACAGUCACCAGAGUUAAGUAAUGUCAAGCCUGGUCAGUACUUGGAUGAGUGACCACUUGGGAAUACCAGGUGCUGUAA